GACGAACGCUGGCGGCGUGCUUAACACAUGCAAGUCGUACGGUAAGGCCCUUUCGGGGGUACACGAGUGGCGAACGGGUGAGUAACACGUGAGUAACCUGCCCACAACUUUGGGAGAACGCUAGGAAACUGGGGGUAAUACUGGAUAUGUGCUCCUGCUGCAUGGGGGGGGUUGGAAAGCUCCGGCGGUGGUGGCGGGAGUCGCGGCCUUUCAGCGUGUUGGUGGGGGAGUGGCCUACCAAGGCGGAGACGGGGAGCCGGGCUGAGAGGGGGACCGGCCACAGUGGGACUGAGAUAAGGCCCCGCCUCCUACGGGAGGCAGCAGGGGGGAAUUUUGCACCAUGGGCGGCAGCCUGAUGCCGCCACGCCGCGGGCGGGAUGACGGCCUUCCGGUUGUAAACCGCUUUCCGCAGGGACGAAGCUUUUUGUGACGGUACCUGCAGAAGAAGCACCGGCUAACUACGUG
rnacentral:rRNA from 1 species